AACCUUGGCAAUUGACGUUAGCGACAGAAGAAGCACCGGCUAACUCCGUGCCAGCAGCCGCGGUAAUACGGAGGGUGCGAGCGUUAAUCGGAAUUACUGGGCGUAAAGGGCACGCAGGCGGUUAAUUAAGUUGGAUGUGAAAUCCCCGGGCUUAACCUGGGAAUGGCAUUCAAGACUGGUUAGCUAGAGUCUUGUAGAGGGGGGUAGAAUUCCAUGUGUAGCGGUGAAAUGCGUAGAGAUGUGGAGGAAUACCGGUGGCGAAGGCGGCCCCCUGGACAAAGACUGACGCUCAUGUGCGAAAGCGUGGGGAGCAAACAGGAUUAGAUACCCUGGUAGUCCACGCUGUAAACGAUGUCGAUUUGGAGGUUGUGGUCAUGAACUGUGGCCUCCGGAGCUAACGCGUUAAAUCGACCGCCUGGGGAGUACGGCCGCAAGGUUAAAACUCAAAUGAAUUGACGGGGGCCCGCACAAGCGGUGGAGCAUGUGGUUUAAUUCGAUGCAACGCGAAGAACCUUACCUACUCUUGACAUCCAGCGAAUCCUUUAGAGAUAGAGGAGUGCCUUCGGGAACGCUGAGACAGGUGCUGCAUGGCUGUCGUCAGCUCGUGUUGUGAAAUGUUGGGUUAAGUCCCGCAACGAGCGCAACCCUUAUCCUUUGUUGCCAGCGAUUCGGUCGGGAACUCAAAGGAGACUGCCGGUG
rnacentral:rRNA from 1 species